AUUUAAUUGGUAGAGAGAUUGAAUCAAUUGGAAUCAGAAAGGCUCCAUCUGUGGUCUUCAUUGAUGAAUUAGAUGCUGUUGGAAGGGAGCGUGGGUUAAUAAAGGGUUCUGGAGGACAAGAAAGGGAUGCCACUCUUAAUCAGCUCCUUGUUUCUUUAGAUGGUUUUGAAGGAAGAGGAGAGGUCAUUACCAUCGCUUCCACAAACAGACCAGACAUUCUAGAUCCUGCGCUUGUGAGGCCUGGAAGGUUUGAC